rnacentral:rRNA from 1 species
AUGAAAUCCGCUGUGGAGCCUCAUGUGCUUCAAGUUUUCCAUAUGAAUAAGAACUACAUACUCUUUUUCUGUGAUGAAUCAACAAGUGUCCUCCGAAAGGCUGAAGGUGAAUAUCAAGGGCACCGCUCUUUGAUGAUGCGCACCCAUGGUUUCCUCACCAUGAUGCAACGACAAGAUGUUCUUGAUGGUCGAACAAAAGAAGUGGAACAAAUGGGUUUAACUUGUAUGCCUACUCCUGUUGUGAUAAGCAUUUGGUUUCCAUCUGCAAGACAAGUUUCUGCUUGUGUAACAACAAUAUUGUCUGGGUCGUCUAGUUUCUAG